UAGUCUGGGAUACCACUUGGAAACAGGUGCUAAUACCGGAUAAGAAAGCAGAUCGCAUGAUCAGCUUUUGAAAAGGCGGCGUAAGCUGUCGCUAUGGGAUGGCCCCGCGGUGCAUUAGCUAGUUGGUAAGGUAAAGGCUUACCAAGGCGAUGAUGCAUAGCCGAGUUGAGAGACUGAUCGGCCACAUUGGGACUGAGACACGGCCCAAACUCCUACGGGAGGCAGCAGUAGGGAAUCUUCCACAAUGGACGCAAGUCUGAUGGAGCAACGCCGCGUGAGUGAAGAAGGUUUUCGGAUCGUAAAGCUCUGUUGUUGGUGAAGAAGGAUAGAGGUAGUAACUGGCCUUUAUUUGACGGUAAUCAACCAGAAAGUCACGGCUAACUACGUGCCAGCAGCCGCGGUAAAU
rnacentral:rRNA from 1 species